CUUUAUUUAUUUUUCCAAUCAGUUAUGAGAUUCAUGUUCACUGAUGUGAGGUUGUCAAUCUGCCACCAUCCAGAGGAAGUCCUGUGAACACAAACAAACAGACAAGUCAACUGCAAGACCGGUUUCACCAUGUUUAUUUUUUUAUGUUAUCAAUUCACCAUCGCUAAAUUUGCUUCUGAAAUGCAGUACCAUGUUAAAUGCACGUUGUAAAUCUUCCUCAGGCUGACAUCGUUGCUGAUUUACAAAGGCAAACUCUAGCUAGCACCUAGCUUCAGUCAUUGAAAACAUGGUGGGCAGAGCUAGCUAGUGGUUUCCAUUGUAAAGGUACUUCUGUAUGCCGUUUCAUUUCCAGAACAAACAGAAACCUAACACUAACUCAUAAAACGUGUUUGCAUAAGGCUAAAGUAAUUCGACGAUUGAAGGUGGAUGAAAUCAACACCAAGACCAUUUUAGCUCACCUUGAAAGUUACCCUGGUUGCUGCCUGCGUGCGAAAGCACUCUGUCGUACGUCUCAAACUCCACCCUUGUGUGUCAGUGUACUCAAUUAAACAACGUCAGCGUCUCUGAGCCAUACUGCAAGCAGAGCGGGCAGCGUACAACUAGAACGAGUGUGCUUGAAGUACAGAAGUAUACUGAUUGAGACGCUUCUGUUCUGCAGUAACCAAACUUUCGUUGCCUAGCAACAACAGGACUCGCCGCCACCGCGAGCUAGUUCAACUUCAGUGCAGCAGAGCCAGGCAAGGACUUCCUCUGGAUGGUGGCAGAUUGACAACCUCACAUCAGUGAACAUGAAUCUCAUAACUGAUUGGAAAAAUAAAUAAAGUUUUGCACACAAUGUGUUUGUCUGUGUACUU